GACGAACGCUGGCGGCGUGCUUAACACAUGCAAGUCGAACGGUGAACCUCUUCGGAGGGGAUCAGUGGCGAACGGGUGAGUAACACGUGGGCAACCUGCCCCCGGCUCUGGGAUAACUCCAAGAAAUUGGGGCUAAUACCGGAUGUUCACCGCUUCCCGCAUGGGUGGUGGUGGAAAGGGUUUCCGGCUGGAGGUGGGCCCGCGGCCUAUCAGCUUGUUGGUGGGGUAGUGGCCUACCAAGGCGACGACGGGUAGCCGGCCUGGGAGGGUGACCGGCCACACUGGGACUGCGACACGGACCAGACUCCUACGGGAGGCAGAAGUGGGGAAUAUUGCGCAAUGGGCGGAAGCCUGACGAAGCGACGCCGCGUGGGGGAUGACGGCCUUCGGGUUGUAAACCUCUUUCAGCAGGGACGAAGCGCAAGUGACGGUACCUGCAGAAGAAGCACCGGCCAACUACGUG
rnacentral:rRNA from 1 species